AGAGCGUGCCUUUUGUAGAAUGAACCGGCGAGUUACGUUAUGAUGCGAGGUUAAGUUGAAGAGACGGAGCCGUAGGGAAACCGAGUCUGAAUAGGGCGACUUAGUAUCAUGAUGUAGACCCGAAACCUAGUGACCUAUCCAUGAGCAGGGUGAAGGUGUGGUAAGACGCACUGGAGGCCCGAACCAGGACACGUUGAAAAGUGUUUGGAUGACUUGUGGAUAGCGGAGAAAUUCCAAACGAACUGGGAGAUAGCUGGUUCUCUCCGAAAUAGCUUUAGGGCUAGCGUCGAAAUGUAAGUGUAUUGGAGGUAGAGCACUGUUUGGGUGAGGGGUCCGUCUAGGAUUACCAAUCUCAGAUAAACUCCGAAUGCUAAUACACAUGUUCGGCAGUCAGACUGCGAGUGCUAAGAUCCGUAGUCGAAAGGGAAACAGCCCAGACCAACAGCUAAGGUCCCAAAAUAUAUGUUAAGUGGAAAAGGAUGUGGGGUUGCACAGACAACUAGGAUGUUAGCUCAGAAGCAGCUAUCAUUCAAAGAGUGCGUAAUAGCUCACUAGUCGAGUGACCCUGCGCCGAAAAUGUACCGGGGCUAAACAUAUUACCGAAGCUUUGGAUUGAUAUUUUAUCAAUGGUAGGAGAGCGUUCUUAACCGCGAUGAAGGUAUACCGUGAGGAGUGCUGGAGCGUUAAGAAGUGAGAAUGCCGGUAUGAGUAGCGCAAGAUAAGUGAGAAUCUUAUCCACCGUAAGACUAAGGUUUCCAGGGGAAGGCUCGUCCGCCCUGGGUUAGUCGGGACCUAAGGCGAGGCCGAAAGGCGUAGUCGAUGGACAACUGGUUGAUAUUCCAGUACUAGAUAUGAUCGUGAUGGAGGGACGCAGUAGGCUAAGAGAUGCCAGUUAAUGGAUUCUGGUCUAAGCAGUGAGGUGUGAGAUGUGUCAAAUGCAUUUCUCUCUAACAUUGAGCUGUGAUGGGGAAGCAACUACGGUUGCGAACUCUCUGAUGUCACACUGCCAAGAAAAGCUUCUAGCGUAAAGUCAUAUCUACCCGUACCGCAAACCGACACAGGUAGUCGAGGCGAGUAGCCUCAGGUGAUCGAGAGAACUCUCGUUAAGGAACUCGGCAAAAUAGCCCCGUAACUUCGGGAGAAGGGGUGCUGGUGUAAAAGCCAGCCGCAGUGAAUAGGCCCAAGCAACUGUUUAUCAAAAACACAGCUCUCUGCUAAACCGCAAGGUGAUGUAUAGGGGGUGACGCCUGCCCGGUGCUGGAAGGUUAAGAGGAGUGCUUAGACGUAAGUCGAAGGUAUGAAUUGAAGCCCCAGUAAACGGCGGCCGUAACUAUAACGGUCCUAAGGUAGCGAAAUUCCUUGUCGGGUAAGUUCCGACCCGCACGAAAG
rnacentral:rRNA from 1 species